CCUACGGGAGACAGCAGUGAGGAAUAUUGGUCAAUGGACGAGAGUCUGAACCAGCCAAGUAGCGUGAAGGAUGACUGCCCUAUGGGUUGUAAACUUCUUUUAUAUGGGAAUAAAACGUUCCACGUGUGGGAUUUUGUAUGUACCAUAUGAAUAAGGAUCGGCUAACUCCGUGCCAGCAGCCGCGGUAAUACGGAGGAUCCGAGCGUUAUCCGGAUUUAUUGGGUUUAAAGGUAGCGUAGGUGGAUUGUUAAGUCAGUUGUGAAAGUUUGCGGCUCAACCGUAAAAUUGCAGUUGAAACUGGCAGUCUUGAGUACAGUAGAGGUGGGCGGAAUUCGUGGUGUAGCGGUGAAAUGCUUAGAUAUCACGAAGAACUCCGAUUGCGAAGGCAGUUCACUGGACUGCAACUGACACUGAGGCUCGAAAGUGUGGGUAUCAAACAGGAUUAGAUACCCCAGUAGUC
rnacentral:rRNA from 1 species